UACGAAGGGGGCUAGCGUUGCUCGGAAUCACUGGGCGUAAAGGGUGCGUAGGCGGGUCUUUAAGUCAGGGGUGAAAUCCUGGAGUUCAACUCCAGAACUGCCUUUGAUACUGAGGAUCUUGAGUUCGGGAGAGGUGAGUGGAACUGCGAGUGUAGAGGUGAAAUUCGUAGAUAUUCGCAAGAACACCAGUGGCGAAGGCGGCUCACUGGCCCGGUACUGACGCUGAGAUGCGAAAGCGUGGGGAGCAAACAGG
rnacentral:rRNA from 1 species